AAUAAUUUAAUUUAUUACUGAAUACAUUAUGUAUACAAGAGUUAAUUUAGUUCUACAAUAACAUUUUUUGAUGUCGGUGCCAAUGAGGUACCAAUGUGGAAUCACAAACAA